rnacentral:rRNA from 1 species
UGCGUAGGCGGUGCGGUAAGUCUCUUGUGAAAUCUCCGGGCUCAACUCGGAGUCUGCAAGGGAAACUGCCGUGCUGGAGUAUGGGAGAGGUGAGUGGAAUUCCCGGUGUAGCGGUGAAAUGCGUAGAUAUUGGGAGGAACACCUGUGGCGAAAGCGGCUCACUGGACCAUUACUGACGCUGAUGCACGAAAGCUAGGGGAGCAAACAGGAUUAGAUACCCUGGUAGUCCUAGCCCUAAACGAUGAUCGCUUGGUGUGACAGGUACCCAAUCCUGUCGUGCCGGAGCUAACGCGUUAAGCGAUCCGCCUGGGGAGUACGGUCGCAAGGCUGAA